rnacentral:rRNA from 1 species
AAGGUCUGACCUGCCCAAUGAGGAUUUUAAUGGCCGCAGUAUUUUGACUGUGCAAAGGUAGCAUAAUUAUUAGCUUUUUAAUUGAGAGCUUGUAUGAAGGGUUGGACGAAAUAAAAUCUGUCUUUAUUUAGAUUAAAGUAGAAUUUAACUUUUAAGUCAAAAGGCUUAAAUGUUUAUAAAAGACGAGAAGACCCUAUAGAUCUUUAUUUAAUUAUUACUUUGAUAAUUUAGGAUUAUUUUAAUUUAAAGUUUUAAUUGAAUUUUAUUGGGGUAAUAUAAAGAUUAAAUAAAUUCUUUUUAUUUAUUACAUUGAUUUAUGAAUACAUGAUCCAAUAUUAUUGAUUAUAAGAUUAAGUUACCUUAGGGAUAACAGCGUAAUUUUUUUGGAGAGCCCAUAUCGAUAAAAAAGUUUGCGACCUCGAUGUUGGAUUAAAAAUUAUCUUGGGUGCAGAAGUUCAAGAUUUUGGUCUGUUCGACCAUUAAAUUUU